rnacentral:rRNA from 1 species
GAUGAACGCUGGCGGCGUGCCUAAUACAUGCAAGUCGAGCGAACAGACGAGGAGCUUGCUCCUUGACGGUAGCGGCGGACGGGGUAGUAAAAAGUAGGGAACCUACCUUUAAGACUGGGGUAACUUUCGGAAAACCGGGGCAAAACCGGGUAAUAUUUUGAACCCCCAGGUUUGAUUAUUAAAGAUGGGUUUUCCUUUACCUUUUGAUGGGCCUGCGCCGUAUUAGCUAGUUGGUAAGGUAACGGCUUACCAAGGCAACGAUACGUAGCCGACCUGAGAGGGUGAUCGGCCACACUGGAACUGAGACACGGUCCAGACUCCUACGGGAGGCAGCAGUAGGGAAUCUUCCGCAAUGGGCGAAAGCCUGACGGAGCAACGCCGCGUGAGUGAUGAAGGUCUUCGGAUCGUAAAACUCUGUUAUUAGGGAAGAACAAACGUGUAAGUAACUGUGCACGUCUUGACGGUACCUAAUCAGAAAGCCACGGCUAACUACGUG